CAGUAUAGCUCAAGUGGUAGAGCAUUCAUCUGGCAUACAUGAAGCCCUGGGUUUGAUUCCCAGUACUG
rnacentral:tRNA from 1 species